rnacentral:rRNA from 1 species
GCAGCAGGCGCGCAAAUUACCCACUCCCGGCACGGGGAGGUAGUGACGAAAAAUAACGAUACGGGACUCAUCCGAGGCCCCGUAAUCGGAAUGAGUAUACUCUAAAUCCUUAUACGAGUAUCAAUUGGAGGGCAAGUCUGGUGCCAGCAGCCGCGGUAAUUCCAGCUCCAAUAGCGUAUAUUAAAGUUGUUGCGGUUAAAAAGCUCGUAGUUGGAUCUGUGUCCCGCACCGUCGGUUCACCGCCUGUCGGUGUUCAACUGGCGUGUAUGCGGGACGUCCUGCCGGUGGCGGUCCGGUUCCCCUGCGGUACGUAGGGGUCGUCCUUGCCUUGCUUGCGUCGACCCCGAAGGCCGUCGUGGUGUUUCCGGCCGCCUUUUCGAUCCCGUCGCGGUGCUCUUUACCGAGUGUCGAGGCGGGCCGGCACGUUUACUUUGAACAAAUUAGAGUGCUUUAAGCAGGCCCUGUCCCGCCUGUAUGUUGUGUGCAUGGAAUAAUGGAAUAGGACCUCGGUUCUAUUUUGUUGGUUUUCGGAAUCUGAGGUAAUGAUCAAUGGGGACAGGCGGGGGCAUUCGUAUUGCGACGUUAGAGGUGAAAUUCUUGGAUCGUCGCAAGACGGACCGAAGCGAAAGCAUUUGCCAAGUAUGUUCUCGUCGAUCAAGAACGAAAGUUAGAGGUUCGAAGGCGAUCAGAUACCGCCCUAGUUCUAACCAUAAACUAUGCCUGCCAGCGAUCCGCCGAAGUUCCUCCGAUGACUCGGCGGGCAGCUUCCGGGAAACCAGAGCUUUUGGGUUCCGGGGGAAGUAUGGUUGCAAAGCUGAAACUUAAAGGAAUUGACGGAAGGGCACCACCAGGAGUGGAGCCUGCGGCUUAAUUUGACUCAACACGGGAAAACUCACCAGGCCCGGACACCGGAAGGAUUGACAGAUUGAGAGCUCUUUCUUGAUUCGGUGGGUGGUGGUGCAUGGCCGUUCUUAGUUGGUGGAGCGAUUUGUCUGGUUAAUUCCGAUAACGAACGAGACUCUAGCCUACUAACUAGGCGUACCCGGUAUCCACAAUCGUGCUACCGGCGGACAAAUUUCUUCUUAGAGGGACAGGCGGCUUCUAGCCGCACGAGACUGAGCAAUAACAGGUCUGUGAUGCCCUUAGAUGUCCUGGGCCGCACGCGCGCUACACUGAAGGAAUCAGCGUGUCUUCCCUGUCCGAAAGGACCGGGUAACCCGCUGAACCUCCUUUGUGCUAGGGAUUGGGGCUUGCAAUUGUUCCCCAUGAACGAGGAAUUCCCAGUAAGCGCGAGUCAUAAGCUCGCGUUGAUUACGUCCCUGCCCUUUGUACACACCGCCCGUCGCUACUACCGAUUGAAUGAUUUAGUGAGGUCUUCGGACUGGUGCGCGGAGGCCGCUCUCGCGGUUUCCGAUGUUGCUGGAAAGAUGACCAAACUUGAUCAUUUAGAGGAAGUAAAAGUCGUAACAAGGUUUCCGUAGGUGAAC